rnacentral:rRNA from 1 species
GACAGAGGGGACAAGCGUUGCUCGGAAUUACUGGGCGUAAAGGGCGCGUAGGCGGGAUGGCAAGUCGGUCGUGAAAUCCUUCGGCUCAACCGAAGAACGUCGAUCGAUACUGCUGUUCUUGAGGGUUGCAGAGGAGACUGGAAUUCCCGGUGUAGCGGUGAAAUGUGUAGAGAUCGGGAGGAACACCGGUGGCGAAGGCGGGUCUCUGGGCAAUUCCUGACGCUGAGGCGCGAAAGCGUGGGGAGCAAACGGG